rnacentral:rRNA from 1 species
CCUACGGGAGGCAGCAGUGGGGAAUUUUGGACAAUGGGCGCAAGCCUGAUCCAGCCAUGCCGCGUGCAGGAUGAAGGCCUUCGGGUUGUAAACUGCUUUUGUACGGAACGAAAAGACUCUGGUUAAUACCUGGGGUCCAUGACGGUACCGUAAGAAUAAGCACCGGCUAACUACGUGCCAGCAGCCGCGGUAAUACGUAGGGUGCGAGCGUUAAUCGGAAUUACUGGGCGUAAAGCGUGCGCAGGCGGUUAUAUAAGACAGAUGUGAAAUCCCCGGGCUCAACCUGGGAACUGCAUUUGUGACUGUAUAGCUAGAGUACGGCAGAGGGGGAUGGAAUUCCGCGUGUAGCAGUGAAAUGCGUAGAUAUGCGGAGGAACACCGAUGGCGAAGGCAAUCCCCUGGGCCUGUACUGACGCUCAUGCACGAAAGCGUGGGGAGCAAACAGGAUUAGAUACCCUGGUAGUCCACGCCCUAAACGAUGUCAACUGGUUGUUGGGUCUUCACUGACUCAGUAACGAAGCUAACGCGUGAAGUUGACCGCCUGGGGAGUACGGCCGCAAGGUUGAAACUUAAAUGAAAUUGACGG